CCACUCGAUGAUGAUGAUCUUGCCCUAAACAUUCUUGCUGGUCUUCCUUUAGAUUACAGUCCUUUUAAAGCAUCAAUGUCUUCAGGAAUGGAACCGUUAUCCUUUAUUGAUCUUCUUGAGAGUUUACUUACUGAAGA
rnacentral:snoRNA from 1 species